UACGAAGGGGGCUAGCGUUGCUCGGAAUUACUGGGCGUAAAGCGCACGUAGGCGGUCUUUUAAGUCGGGGGUGAAAUCCUGGAGCUCAACUCCAGAACUGCCUUCGAUACUGGAAGACUUGAGUCCGGGAGAGGUGAGUGGAACUGCGAGUGUAGAGGUGAAAUUCGUAGAUAUCCGCAAGAACACCAGUGGCGAAGGCGGCUCACUGGCCCGGUACUGACGCUGAAGUGCGAAAGCGUGGGGAGCAAACAGG
rnacentral:rRNA from 1 species